rnacentral:misc_RNA from 1 species
UCUGGCUUAUAGCCCAGCGGUCUCGUUAGAGUGCCCAACUUAAUGAUGGUAACUAACGACAAGGGUUGCGCUCGUUGCGGGACUUAACCCAACAUCUCACAACACGAGCUGACGACAGCCAUGCAGCACCUGUCACCGCGUCUCCGAAGAGAACCCCUAGUUUCCUAGGGUAGCGCGGGAUGUCAAGCCUGGGUAAGGUUUUUCGCGUAGCAUCGAAUUAAACCACAUGCUCCACCGCUUGUGCGGGCCCCCGUCAAUUCCUUUGAGUUUUAAUCUUGCGACCGUACUUCCCAGGCGGGAUACUUAAUGCGUUAGCUUCGUUACCGAGACAAUUAGGUAUCCCGACAACUAGUAUCCAUCGUUUAGGGCGUGGACUAC